AACGUACGCUGGCGGCACGCUUAACACAUGCAAGUCGAACGAAGUAGCAAUACUUAGUGGCAGACGGGUGAGUAACAUGUGGGUAUCUGCCCUUUGGCCUGGAAUAACACAAGGAAACUUGUGCUAAUACCGGAUAAGUCUUUACGGAGAAAGCUUUAUGCACCAUUGGAUGAGCCCGCACUUGAUUAGUUUGUUGGUGGGGUAAUGGCCUACCAAGACUGUGAUCAAUAGCUGAUUUGAGAGGAUGAUCAGCCACAUUGGGACUGAGACACGGCCCAAACUCCUACGGGAGGCAGCAGUGGGGAAUCUUGCACAAUGGAGGAAACUCUGAUGCAGCGAUGCCGCGUGAGUGAAGAAGGCCCUUGGGUUGUAAAGCUCUUUCGUCGGGGAAGAAAAUGACUGUACCCGAAUAAGAAGGUCCGGCUAACUUCGUGCCAGCAGCCGCGGUAAUACGAAGGGACCUAGCGUAGUUCGGAAUUACUGGGCUUAAAGAGUUCGUAGGUGGUUGAAAAAGUUAGUGGUGAAAUCCCAGAGCUUAACUCUGGAACUGCCAUUAAAACUUUUCAGCUAGAGUAUGAUAGAGGAAAGCAGAAUUUCUAGUGUAGAGGUGAAAUUCGUAGAUAUUAGAAAGAAUACCAAUUGCGAAGGCAGCUUUCUGGAUCAUUACUGACACUGAGGAACGAAAGCAUGGGUAGCGAAGAGGAUUAGAUACCCUCGUAGUCCAUGCCGUAAACGAUGUGUGUUAGACGUUGGAAAUUUAUUUUCAGUGUCGCAGCGAAAGCGAUAAACACACCGCCUGGGGAGUACGACCGCAAGGUUAAAACUCAAAUGAAUUGACGGGGACCCGCACAAGUAGUGGAGCAUGUGGUUUAAUUCGAAGAUACGCGCAGAACCUUACCAACACUUGACAUGUUCGUCGCGACUCUAAGAGAUUAGAGUUUUCGGUUCGGCCGGACGAAACACAGGUGCUGCAUGGCUGUCGUCAGCUCGUGUCGUGAGAUGUUGGGUUAAGUCCCGCAACGAGCGCAACCCUCACUUUUAGUUGCCAUCAUUAAGUUGGGCACUCUGAAAGAACUGCCAGUGAUAAGCUGGAGGAAGGUGGGGAUGACGUCAAGUCCUCAUGGCCCUUACGUGUUGGGCUACACACGUGCUACAAUGGUAUCUACAACAGGAAGCAAGACUGCGAGGUCAAGCAAAUCCUUAAAAGAUACCUCAGUUCGGAUUGCACUCUGCAACUCGAGUGCAUGAAGCUGGAAUUACUAGUAAUCGUGGAUCAGCGUGCCACGGUGAAUGCGUUCCCGGGUCU
rnacentral:rRNA from 1 species